UAUGAGAUUUAUUAGUUAGCCCU
rnacentral:siRNA from 1 species